AGGCAGAAAAGAUUACUACAGGGUUAUGGGCUCUAUAUGUGUCCUACUACUGGAGAAAGAUUUUAUAUGGGCUCAAGCAGGGCUAGACAUAUCAGUGGAGAAGCUGGAAGUAAUGCUGUAAAGUGAUCAAUAAGAGUACACUUAGAUGUCCGGAGAAAUAUUAUCAUGUCAGGAUGUAGUCAGCCUACUUCCUCUCAGCUAGACACAGAAGGAAGUAGUGCUGGGGGAACCACUUUUAGGGGGUUAUAUCUUUGAAUGUCAAAGGACAGCAUAUAGGUUGUGUUUGUUAGGCCUUUAUGGAUUAAUGUCCUUAAAUUAUAUUUGUAAAUCAAUGUUCUAUGUGAUGUAACUUUGUUUAGUUUGUAGAUCAAUAUUCUAUGAGAUAUUUAUCUCGUAAUAUGAUAUAUAAUUGGUUACACUUUA